CGAAACUUCUAAGCGCCAUGAGCGCAAAAAGUUUAGUAAGAUCCCCUUACACUAUCCUCGUACUUCUAGACAUACUCCAUUACUUUCCGUUCCAUUAGGCAAACCGCCAACCUUUGAUGGUGAAGAUUAUGCUAGGUGGAGUGAUUUAAUGAAAUAUCACCUAACCUCACUCCACAAAAGUAUAUGGAAUGUUGUUGAGUUUGGAGCACAGGUACCAUCCGUAGGGGAUGAGGAUUAUGAUGAGGACGAAGUGGCCCAAAUCGAGCACUUCAACUCCCAAGCCACAACCAUACUCCUCGCCUCUCUAAGUAGGGAGGAGUACAACAAGGUGCAAGGAUUAAAGAGCGCCAAGGAAGUUUGGGACGUGCUCAAGACCGCGCACGAGGGUGAUGAACUCACCAAAAUCACCAAGCGGGAAACGAUCGAGGGGGAGCUCGGUCGCUGUAACACCCCGGGAUCCACAAACACCCCAGAAUGCUACUAAACUACACAUCUAACAUUCAUAUAUAAAAUUUCGACAUCAUCUCCUUUGAAAAUUGCAUAAACGGGGAUGCAACAAAGUAUAAAUAGGUAUCAUGAUAAGAAAACAUAAAAGACAUUAAUAAUCUGCUAGCAAUGGGAAGACAACCAUAACAACAUGAACUGAAUUAAUCAGUGUGCACGACUAGUUAAAAACAAACAUCCUUUGACAAGAAGUUUCUAAUUAAAUCAUGACUGUGUCUGGGCAGCAUUAUUAUGAGAGUGAAGGUGGAUGUGCUGCUACUUCCCACUCCCCUUGAUGAGCAACAAGCACCUGCAUUGAGUAAUGCAAGAGUGAGAUGAAACAUCUCAGCAAGCUAAUUGUUCUGACGAGAUAUUUAAACCACAAAUUGAAUUAAUCAACAUUUUAAAAGAAUCACAAUCAAGAUCAGAAAUACUUGUAGAUAUAGAACUUAGUAGUCCCAAUAUAACCAAUAUCAUCUCAUUUCCUCGAACAACCACAAUAGGUUCUAUAACACCUCCCCGCGUCAACAAUACCUGCAAAUAUCACUUCAAUGUAUGCAUAGGAAUGCAAUGUGUAGGUACUCUAUCUUCAUACCUCUGAGAGUAUAAAACCACAUCAUCUGCAAAUAUCACUUCAAUGAAUGCAUAUGAAUGCAAUGCAUAUGUCCUCUGCCUUCAUACCUCUAAGGGUAUGAAGCCGCAUCGUACCCCUUCUCGGGCAACGUACGAUGCUAAGUUGUACCGGUACGGUCGGACCAUAGGUCACGACAAAACUUCAUAUGCAAAUGAGUCAUGCAAUGUAUAUGGCAUGCUACAUUUAUCAAUAAACUUCACUUCCUUCAGAUACAACACAAACCUCAAAUAAUACUUCAUUUACCUUCAGAUACAAUACCAACCUCAAAUAAUACUUCAUUUACCUUCAGGGGUGUGAAUUAAUCUCAUGAGUCAUACUCAAAUCAUAAUCAUCAUCAAUAUAUGAUUGAGCAUCAGUAUAAUGCAAGCAAGUAAAGCAUCACCAUAGAGUCCAAUUAUGAAAGAAUCUGACACUUCUGAAUAUUAGAGUGUAGGCGAUAGAAAUAACAGGUCAGAACGGAAGCAACCACCGCUACAUUCACUUGCCUUCAUCGAAGAAGAAGAAAUGUACUAGACAUGAUCUGGAGUGUAGCCACCUGCUAGUGGGCAUAAAACUUAGUACAAAUAUUUUACAAACAUUUGCCAUCAAUCAACAAAACACUCCUGCACUUGAAACCAAGACCCAGUGGAAAGACUCCCACCCUGAACCACAUGCCAUACAGCAGCAACGCUGUUUGUUAAUUUUGUAUCUUUAAAAUUAAAACAGCGGUGAUAUCAAACAAAUACUCUAGGAGUAUCUACACAAAAUACUCUACAACUUCAGUAUUCAAUAGAUAAUUAAAUUCUGCCAUCUACAAGUUCUAAAACAUCUGACAAGAUACCUGACUGAAUCUGUUUUAGACAGCAGUAUGGUUAACUUUAAAAUUCGAUAUCUCCAAAACUGCUGAACCAAAAAUUAUGAAAUUCUGCUGGAAGUAAGAACUUUUAUCCCUCUACAAAAGUCUCCAUAGUUGGAAGAGCCAAUUCGGCCAUUUACUAGAUGAAACCCACCAGUGAACAGACCCACUCAUUUUUGUCAGGUAAACAGGAACAGCCACAGUAAAACAAACAUAACUGGAGUUUCACAAAUCAUAUGAAUGCACUCUUUAACAAUCUGGAAAGCUUAUAAAAUUAUCUACAACUUCUUUUACCAACCCACAGUUUAAUUCUGUUGAUAAAAUUGCCUAAAUCUUAAGAGAACAGAUUCUGCACAGAAUUAUGAGACUGAAAAACUGCUAUAGUAAAACUGCAAUAACUCUCUGGUCGGAUCUCCGAUUGAGGUGUUCUUCACGGCCACGGAAAGAUCUACAAAUUAUCUACGACUCAUACAUAGACUUUUUAUUUUUUUGAGGCCACUAAGACCACGGAAAACUGGCAUGAACAGAAACUGUCGAAUCUGCCAUUCUGCAGAAAACUAAAUUCGAGAUCAAAACCUAACCCCACAUCAAAUCCAACCUCUAAUCCUUUAAUUCCCAUGAUCUACAACCUCCAAAAGCCUAUAAUUACAGGGAGGAACAAGGAUCUCAUCCAUACCUAGGGUUUCCCCAAGAAAUCUUCAAGAGGAGAUGGGGAAGAACAUCUCCUUGAUCCUCUCUUCCUCUUCAAUUCAACGUGCCCCUCCUUUUCUCGAUCCUUGCUGCGUAGGAGGAGAUCUUGGGGGAGGAAGCAAUGGAGGAUGGCUGCCAUAGGGGGAGGGGGCGUCCAGCCAAGGGGGAGAAAAAGGGGGUGGCGGCCAAGAGGGGGGUGAAGGGAAAAAAAAGGGGUGGCCACCUAGGGUUUUUGUGGGAGAAAGAAACGAUGCCUCAGAUGACUUCUAUCUUUGCAUCCAAUGGCCCACAACCCUUUACCUCAUCCACGCACCGGAGAUUAACUUUUGGUCAACAUUUUUUUUGGGAUAUUACACUCUACCCCGCUUAAAAAGAAUUCGACCUCGAAUUCGGCCACUCCAAGCAAAACACCCAAGGUACCCCAUAUAGCACCACAAUUCAAAACAUGGGUCCAUUAUUGGUCUUAAUUAACACAAGAACUUCUACCUUGGACUAAUUGUCUAAGGAAACUACACGACCUGACAUCAAGCAUGAAACAACAUGUAAUGAAGCUCAAAGCAUGUCAUAGUUGCAAUCAACACUCCAAUUUCACACCAUCAAAUUUGGAUGCAGCUAUACAUCAACAUCAAUGUCUUAAGACAACACUCUUUUAUGAAGGGGUAAUAUGCACCAAGCACAACCCUUACCAACUUCAACCAUUAAUUUUAAUUAAAUGGUGAAACAUCUACACCCGACGAAUGUAUAAGAAGAUCAAACACCUCACCUUAAAGCACCAUGAAACAAGUAGUUGUAUUGAAACAAAAAUCCUAAUCUUCCUAAACCUUAUUCUUGCCAUCAUGAAAAGAUAAUCAUGUAAUCUAACAUUCUUUGCACCCCACAAAAGGGAGAAAAUCCACAGAACUAAUGGAGCAAUAAAGCCAACAAGAAGCCAAUAAUAUUCUGCGCGGCACAUUUCAUCGAAGAAAUGCCAAAAGCUCCACAAAGAGCACUGACAGCACAACAACACAAUACUUGGUUAACCAAUGUCACUAUACUUCAUUCAACAUCUCAACUAAGAAAAAUAUCCAACUAGUAAGGAUAACCUACACAUAAUAUAAGUCUUCAUCUACUGUAGUUCAGAAACUUACAUUUCAUUCUAUCAUACGAUGCACUCAAAGUACCAGACAUACAAGGUCAAUAAUAACCCCGUAAUCCUUCACACAUUUGACAAACAUCUCAAGCUGAUGUAAAAACCACAUCAUUUACGAAUAGGUGACUAACCACACACAACAAACUCUAGGCUAGGCACUGGCUUCAUUCAAACCAAUAGAUAGGUGGUCCAACAAUGGCUCCACAAGCAUGCAUCGGAGAGAGAACCAUCUGAUCCUCCAUAUAUUAAUACAUAAUCAAUGGAUCCAGAAAAUCAAAGGUUUAUUCUACAACUAGCAUGACUAACAUGCAACCACUUUAAACCACAUCUAGGCUUUGUGGCUACUAAAACACACAAUAGAAGAGAGACAUGUAAGCCAUUCUAGCUAGGUAAAGACUUCCCCCAAAAUUCAUAUAAAAGUACCAACAUUCAUUUCUUUCAGAACUGGUUUCUCGACAUAAACAAUCAUUCUUUGCAAAGAUAGUUGGAACUAUCCACCAACCGCUCAACAACUUAAAUUCAAAUUGAUGGUUACCUUGUAACCCAAAACACGCAAUUCACACUCCUCUUAGAAACAUCCUCAAUCAAGCAUAUAUAACAAUAUUAUUGUAAUAAAACUCAACCAUGGAAAACAUGGUGUAAACAACAUAGACAUACUUGUAUAUCACAAGCAUAAUAACAACUUCAAUCUCUCAAAAGACCAGCGAUAUCAAUCGCAUUAAUAAAACAAUAUAAAGAUUUAGAGAUAAAUUAUUAGGCAUUAAGUCAUAAACGACUUACCACAUCACCGUAAAGGAAUAGGGAGGGGUGAAAUUAUUGUCAUCUGCACUCCAAAGACAUUAAUAUAUAUCAAAGAUAUUUGAACCCAUACCCUUCCUAUAUGUGCAAGUGUGUCAAAUUUAUCUUCAAAUUGCCAAGAAUCUAAAGCCUAUGCUUUGAUACCAACUAUAACACCCCGGGAUCCACAAACACCCCAGAAUGCUACUAAACUACACAUCUAACAUUCAUAUAUAAAAUUUCGACAUCAUCUCCUUUGAAAAUUGCAUAAACGGGGAUGCAACAAAGUAUAAAUAGGUAUCAUGAUAAGAAAACAUAAAAGACAUUAAUAAUCUGCUAGCAAUGGGAAGACAACCAUAACAACAUGAACUGAAUUAAUCAGUGUGCACGACUAGUUAAAAACAAACAUCCUUUGACAAGAAGUUUCUAAUUAAAUCAUGACUGUGUCUGGGCAGCAUUAUUAUGAGAGUGAAGGUGGAUGUGCUGCUACUUCCCACUCCCCUUGAUGAGCAACAAGCACCUGCAUUGAGUAAUGCAAGAGUGAGAUGAAACAUCUCAGCAAGCUAAUUGUUCUGACGAGAUAUUUAAACCACAAAUUGAAUUAAUCAACAUUUUAAAAGAAUCACAAUCAAGAUCAGAAAUACUUGUAGAUAUAGAACUUAGUAGUCCCAAUAUAACCAAUAUCAUCUCAUUUCCUCGAACAACCACAAUAGGUUCUAUAACACCUCCCCGCGUCAACAAUACCUGCAAAUAUCACUUCAAUGUAUGCAUAGGAAUGCAAUGUGUAGGUACUCUAUCUUCAUACCUCUGAGAGUAUAAAACCACAUCAUCUGCAAAUAUCACUUCAAUGAAUGCAUAUGAAUGCAAUGCAUAUGUCCUCUGCCUUCAUACCUCUAAGGGUAUGAAGCCGCAUCGUACCCCUUCUCGGGCAACGUACGAUGCUAAGUUGUACCGGUACGGUCGGACCAUAGGUCACGACAAAACUUCAUAUGCAAAUGAGUCAUGCAAUGUAUAUGGCAUGCUACAUUUAUCAAUAAACUUCACUUCCUUCAGAUACAACACAAACCUCAAAUAAUACUUCAUUUACCUUCAGAUACAAUACCAACCUCAAAUAAUACUUCAUUUACCUUCAGGGGUGUGAAUUAAUCUCAUGAGUCAUACUCAAAUCAUAAUCAUCAUCAAUAUAUGAUUGAGCAUCAGUAUAAUGCAAGCAAGUAAAGCAUCACCAUAGAGUCCAAUUAUGAAAGAAUCUGAUACUUCUGAAUAUUAGAGUGUAGGCGAUAGAAAUAACAGGUCAGAACGGAAGCAACCACCGCUACAUUCACUUGCCUUCAUCGAAGAAGAAGAAAUGUACUAGACAUGAUCUGGAGUGUAGCCACCUGCUAGUGGGCAUAAAACUUAGUACAAAUAUUUUACAAACAUUUGUCAUCAAUCAACAAAACACUCCUGCACUUGAAACCAAGACCCAGUGGAAAGACUCCCACCCUGAACCACAUGCCAUACAGCAGCAACGCUGUUUGUUAAUUUUGUAUCUUUAAAAUUAAAACAGCGGUGAUAUCAAACAAAUACUCUAGGAGUAUCUACACAAAAUACUCUACAACUUCAGUAUUCAAUAGAUAAUUAAAUUCUGCCAUCUACAAGUUCUAAAACAUCUGACAAGAUACCUGACUGAAUCUGUUUUAGACAGCAGUAUGGUUAACUUUAAAAUUCGAUAUCUCCAAAACUGCUGAACCAAAAAUUAUGAAAUUCUGCUGGAAGUAAGAACUUUUAUCCCUCUACAAAAGUCUCCAUAGUUGGAAGAGCCAAUUCAGCCAUUUACUAGAUGAAACCCACCAGUGAACAGACCCACUCAUUUUUGUCAGGUAAACAGGAACAGCCACAGUAAAACAAACAUAACUGGAGUUUCACAAAUCAUAUGAAUGCACUCUUUAACAAUCUGGAAAGCUUAUAAAAUUAUCUACAACUUCUUUUACCAACCCACAGUUUAAUUCUGUUGAUAAAAUUGCCUAAAUCUUAAGAGAACAGAUUCUGCACAGAAUUAUGAGACUGAAAAACUGCUAUAGUAAAACUGCAAUAACUCUCUGGUCGGAUCUCCGAUUGAGGUGUUCUUCACGGCCACGGAAAGAUCUACAAAUUAUCUACGACUCAUACAUAGACUUUUUAUUUUUUUGAGGCCACUAAGACCACGGAAAACUGGCAUGAACAGAAACUGUCGAAUCUGCCAUUCUGCAGAAAACUAAAUUCGAGAUCAAAACCUAACCCCACAUCAAAUCCAACCUCUAAUCCUUUAAUUCCCAUGAUCUACAACCUCCAAAAGCCUAUAAUUACAGGGAGGAACAAGGAUCUCAUCCAUACCUAGGGUUUCCCCAAAAAAUCUUCAAGAGGAGAUGGGGAAGAACAUCUCCUUGAUCCUCUCUUCCUCUUCAAUUCAACGUGCCCCUCCUUUUCUCGAUCCUUGCUGCGUAGGAGGAGAUCUUGGGGGAGGAAGCAAUGGAGGAUGGCUGCCAUAGGGGGAGGGGGCGUCCAGCCAAGGGGGAGAAAAAGGGGGUGGCGGCCAAGAGGGGGGUGAAGGGAAAAAAAAGGGGUGGCCACCUAGGGUUUUUGUGGGAGAAAGAAACGAUGCCUCAGAUGACUUCUAUCUUUGCAUCCAAUGGCCCACAACCCUUUACCUCAUCCACGCACCGGAGAUUAACUUUUGGUCAACA
rnacentral:lncRNA from 1 species